rnacentral:rRNA from 1 species
UACAGAGGGUGCAAGCGUUACUCGGAAUUACUGGGCGUAAAGCGUGCGCAGGCGGUUGUGCAAGACAGAUGUGAAAUCCCCGGGCUCAACCUGGGAACUGCAUUUGUGACUGCACGGCUGGAGUGCGGCAGAGGGGGAUGGAAUUCCGCGUGUAGCAGUGAAAUGCGUAGAUAUGCGGAGGAACACCGAUGGCGAAGGCAAUCCCCUGGGCCUGCACUGACGCUCAUGCACGAAAGCGUGGGGAGCAAACAGG